rnacentral:rRNA from 1 species
CUACGUGCCAGCAGCCGCGGUAAUACGGAGGGUGCGAGCGUUAAUCGAAAUAACUGGGCGUAAAGGGCACGCAGGCGGUGACUUAAGUGAGGUGUGAAAGCCCCGGGCUUAACCUGGGAAUUGCAUUUCAUACUGGGUCGCUAGAGUACUUUAGGGAGGGGUAGAAUUCCACGUGUAGCGGUGAAAUGCGUAGAGAUGUGGAGGAAUACCGAAGGCGAAGGCAGCCCCUUGGGAAUGUACUGACGCUCAUGUGCGAAAGCGUGGGGAGCAAACAGGAUUAGAUACCCUGGUAGUCCACGCUGUAAACGAUGUCGAUUUGGGGGUUGAGCUUUGAGCUUGGCGCCCGUAGCUAACGUGAUAAAUCGACCGCCUGGGGAGUACGGCCGCAAGGUUAAAACUCAAAUGAAUUGACGGGGGCCCGCACAAGCGGUGGAGCAUGUGGUUUAAUUCGAUGCAACGCGAAGAACCUUACCUACUCUUGACAUCCAGA